rnacentral:rRNA from 1 species
UACGUAGGGCGCAAGCGUUGUCCGGAAUUAUUGGGCGUAAAGAGCUCGUAGGCGGCUUGUCACGUCGGGUGUGAAAGCCCGGGGCUUAACCCCGGGUCUGCAUUCGAUACGGGCUAGCUAGAGUGUGGUAGGGGAGAUCGGAAUUCCUGGUGUAGCGGUGAAAUGCGCAGAUAUCAGGAAGAACACCCGUGGCGAAGGCGGCUCUCUGGGACGGUACUGACGCUGAGACGCGAAAGCGUGGGGAGCGAACAGG